AACGAACGCUGGCGGCAUGCCUAACACAUGCAAGUCGAACGAGAUCUUCGGGUCUAGUGGCGCACGGGUGCGUAACGCGUGGGAAUCUGCCCUUUGGUUCGGAAUAACAGUUGGAAACGACUGCUAAUACCGGAUGAUGACGAAAGUCCAAAGAUUUAUCGCCAGAGGAUGAGCCCGCGUAGGAUUAGCUAGUUGGUGUGGUAAAGGCGCACCAAGGAGACGAUCCUUAGCUGGGCUGAGAGGAUGAUCAGCCACACUGGGACUGAGACACGGCCCAGAAUCCUACGGGAGGCAGCAGUGGGGAAUAUUGGACAAUGGGCGAAAGCCUGAUCCAGCAAUGCCGCGUGAGUGAUGAAGGCCUUAGGGUUGUAAAGCUCCUUUACCCGGGAUGAUAAUGACAGUACCGGGAGAAUAAGCUCCGGCUAACUCCGUGCCAGCAGCCGCCGUAA
rnacentral:rRNA from 1 species